rnacentral:rRNA from 1 species
AGCGAACGCUGGCGGCAGGCUUAACACAUGCAAGUCGAGCGGGCAUAGCAAUAUGUCAGCGGCAGACGGGUGAGUAACGCGUGGGAACGUACCUUUUGGUUCGGAACAACACAGGGAAACUUGUGCUAAUACCGGAUAAGCCCUUACGGGGAAAGAUUUAUCGCCGAAAGAUCGGCCCGCGUCUGAUUAGCUAGUUGGUGAGGUAAUGGCUCACCAAGGCGACGAUCAGUAGCUGGUCUGAGAGGAUGAUCAGCCACAUUGGGACUGAGACACGGCCCAAACUCCUACGGGAGGCAGCAGUGGGGAAUAUUGGACGAUGGGCGCAAGCCUGAUCCAGCCAUGCCGCGUGAGUGAUGAAGGCCCUAGGGUUGUAAAGCUCUUUUGUGCGGGAAGAUAAUGACGGUACCGAAAGAAUAAGCCCCGGCUAACUUCGUG